GACGAACGCUGGCGGCGUGCUUAACACAUGCAAGUCGAACGGAAAGGCCCCUUUGGGGGUACUCGAGUGGCGAACGGGUGAGUAACACGUGAGUAACCUGCCCUUGACUUCGGGAUAACUUCAGGAAACUGGGGCUAAUACCGGAUAGGAAUCCUUGCUGCAUGGUGGGGGUUGGAAAGCUUCGGCGGUUUUGGAUGGACUCGCGGCUUAUCAGCUUGUUGGUGGGGUAAUGGCUUACCAAGGCUUUGACGGGUAGCCGGCCUGAGAGGGCGACCGGCCACAUUGGGACUGAGAUACGGCCCAGACUCCUACGGGAGGCAGCAGUGGGGAAUAUUGCACAAUGGGCGGAAGCCUGAUGCAGCAACGCCGCGGGCGGGAUGACGGCCUUCGGGUUGUAAACCGCUUUCAGCAGGGGCGAAGCUUGUGGUGACGGUACCUGCAGAAGAAGCACCGGCUAACUACGUG
rnacentral:rRNA from 1 species